rnacentral:rRNA from 1 species
UACGAAGGGGGCUAGCGUUGCUCGGAAUUACUGGGCGUAAAGGGCGCGUAGGCGGUUCGCUAAGUCGGAUGUGAAAACUCUGGGCUCAACCCAGAGCCUGCAUCCGAAACUGGCGGGCUAGAGUUCUGGAGGGGGUAGCGGAAUUCCUGGUGUAGCGGUGAAAUGCGUAGAUAUCAGGAGGAACACCAAUAGCGAAGGCAGCUCGCUGGGACGGUAUUGACGCUGAGGCGCGAAAGCGUGGGGAGCAAACAGG